rnacentral:rRNA from 1 species
GAACUGAAGAGUAUGAUCAUGGCUCAGAUUGAACGUUGGCGGCAGGCCUCAUACAUGCAAGUCGAACGCGAAAGGCCCUUCGGGGCUGAGUAGAGUGGCGAACGGGUGAGUAACGCGUAGGAAUCUACCCGGCAGUGGGGGACAACUCGGGGAAACUCGAGCUAAUACCGCAUGUGAUCUUCGGCAUUCGUGCCGGAGAUGAAAGCGGGGGAUCUCCCCGCCGCGACUUCGGUUGCGGCGGAAAGACCUCGCGCUGUCGGAGGAGCCUGCGUUGGAUUAGCUUGUUGGUGGGGUAAUGGCCUACCAAGGCGACGAUCCAUAGCUGGUCUGAGAGGACGAUCAGCCACACUGGGACUGAGACACGGCCCAGACGGCUACGGUCGGCAGCAGUAGGGAAUAUUGCACAAUGGGCGAAAGCCUGAUGCAGCCAUGCCGCGUGUGUGAAGAAGGCCUUAGGGUUGUAAAGCACUUUCAGUGGCGAAGAAAAAACCGGCGUUAAUACCGCCGGUCAUUGACGUUAACCACAGAAGAAGCACCGGCCAACUCCGUGCCAGCAGCCGCGGUAAUACGGAGGGUGCGAACGUUAAUCGGAAUUACUGGGCGUAAAGCGCGCGUAGGCGGUUUGUUAAGUGGGAUGUGAAAGCCCCGGGCUCAACCUGGGAACUGCGUUUCAAACUGGCAAACUAGAGUUCAGUAGAGGGAGGUGGAAUUUCCUGUGUAGCGGUGGAAUGCGUAGAUAUAGGAAGGAACACCAGUGGCGAAGGCGGCCUCCUGGACUGAAACUGACGCUCAUGUGCGAAAGCGUGGGGAGCAAACAGGAUUAGAUACCCUGGUAGUCCACGCCGUA